rnacentral:rRNA from 1 species
UACGAAGGGGGCUAGCGUUGUUCGGAUUUACUGGGCGUAAAGCGCACGUAGGCGGAUCUUUAAGUCAGAGGUGAAAUCCCAAGGCUCAACCUUGGAACUGCCUUUGAUACUGGGGAUCUCGAGUCCGGGAGAGGUGAGUGGAACUGCGAGUGUAGAGGUGAAAUUCGUAGAUAUUCGCAAGAACACCAGUGGCGAAGGCGGCUCACUGGCCCGGAACUGACGCUGAGGUGCGAAAGCGUGGGGAGCAAACAGG